UGUAUACGAAGGUUAUUCGAUAACCUCAGAUACAUCUCAUCAUUAUUAUUAUCAUCCUCAUUGCAUUUCAUUCAAUUAUGCAUCUUCUUUGUUAUAUUUAUGUGCUUCAUCUGUUGCAUUGCCUAUUUUAUGGCCUUUAUGUAUCUAUUUCUUGCUUAUGUGCUAUUGUUAGAACUGCUAGUGGAGACGAUGUGAGCUAUUGUUUGGGAUAUUUUUUGCUUGCAG
rnacentral:lncRNA from 1 species